rnacentral:rRNA from 1 species
CCUACGGGCGGCAGCAGUGGGGAAUAUUGGACAAUGGGCGAAAGCCUGAUCCAGCCAUGCCGCGUGUGUGAAGAAGGCCUUCGGGUUGUAAAGCACUUUCAGUGGGGAAGAAAGCCUUGGGGCUAAUACCCUCGAGGAAGGACAUCACCCACAGAAGAAGCACCGGCUAACUCCGUGCCAGCAGCCGCGGUAAUACGGAGGGUGCGAGCGUUAAUCGGAAUUACUGGGCGUAAAGCGCGCGUAGGCGGUCUGAUAAGCCGGUUGUGAAAGCCCCGGGCUCAACCUGGGAACGGCAUCCGGAACUGUCAGGCUAGAGUGCAGGAGAGGAAGGUAGAAUUCCCGGUGUAGCGGUGAAAUGCGUAGAGAUCGGGAGGAAUACCAGUGGCGAAGGCGGCCUUCUGGACUGACACUGACGCUGAGGUGCGAAAGCGUAGGUAGCAAACAGGAUUAGCUACCCGUGUAGUC